UCCCAGACUCCUACGGGAGGCAGCAGUGGGGAAUAUUGCACAAUGGGCGAAAGCCUGAUGCAGCAACGCCGCGUGAAGGAAGACGGUUUUCGGAUUGUAAACUUCUGUUCUUAGUGAAGAAUAAUGACGGUAACUAAGGAGCAAGCCACGGCUAACUACGUGCCAGCAGCCGCGGUAAUACGUAGGUGGCAAGCGUUGUCCGGAAUUACUGGGUGUAAAGGGAGCGUAGGCGGGACGGCAAGUCAGAUGUGAAAACUGAGGGCUCAACUUUCAGACUGCAUUUGAAACUGCUGUUCUUGAGUGAAGUAGAGGUAAGCGGAAUUCCUAGUGUAGCGGUGAAAUGCGUAGAUAUUAGGAGGAACAUCGGUGGCGAAGGCGGCUUACUGGGCUUUUACUGACGCUGAGGCUCGAAAGCGUGGGGAGCAAACAGGAUUAGAUACCCGCGUAC
rnacentral:rRNA from 1 species